GACGGAGGGAGCUAGCGUUGUUCGGAAUGACUGGGCGUAAAGGGCGCGUAGGCGGUUUUUUAAGUGAGGCGUGAAAGCCCUGGGCUUAACCCAGGAGGUGCGUUUCAGACUGGAAGACUUGAGGACGAGAGAGGAAAGUGGAAUUCCUAGUGUAGAGGUGAAAUUCGUAGAUAUUAGGAAGAACACCAGUGGCGAAGGCGGUUACCUGGACAGUUACUGACGCUCAGGCACGAAAGCGUGGGGAGCAAAAGGG
rnacentral:rRNA from 1 species